rnacentral:rRNA from 1 species
ACGGAGGGUGCAAGCAUUAAUCGGAAUUAUUGGGCGUAAAGGGCGCGUAGGCGGAAAUGUAAGUCAGAUGUGAAAUUCCGAAGCUCAACUUCGGAGCUGCAUUUGAAACUACAAUUCUAGAGGGUUGACGGAGAAAACGGAAUUCCACGUGUAGCGGUGAAAUGCGUAGAUAUGUGGAAGAACACCGGUGGCGAAAGCGGUUUUCUAGUUAAUACCUGACGCUGAGGCGCGAGAGCAAGGGGAGCAAACAGG